rnacentral:rRNA from 1 species
AUUGAACGCUGGCGGCAUGCUUUACACAUGCAAGUCGAACGGUAACAGGCCGCAAGGUGCUGACGAGUGGCGAACGGGUGAGUAAUGCAUCGGAACGUGCCCAGUCGUGGGGGAUAACGCAGCGAAAGCUGUGCUAAUACCGCAUACGAUCUGUGGAUGAAAGCGGGGGACCGAAAGGCCUCGCGCGAUUGGAGCGGCCGAUGUCAGAUUAGGUAGUUGGUGGGGUAAAGGCUCACCAAGCCAACGAUCUGUAGCUGGUCUGAGAGGACGACCAGCCCCACUGGGACUGAGACACGGCCCAGACUCCUACGGGAGGCAGCAGUGGGGAAUUUUGGACAAUGGGCGCAAGCCUGAUCCAGCAAGGCCGCGUGCAGGAAGAAGGCCUUCGGGUUGUAAACUGCUUUUGUACGGAGCGAAAGGGCUCUCUCUAAUACAGGGGGCUCAUGACGGUACCGUAAGAAUAAGCACCGGCUAACUACGUGCCAGCCGCCGCCGUAAUAC